AGUGAACGCUGGCGGUAGGCCUAACACAUGCAAGUCGAACGGCAGCACAGUAAGAGCUUGCUCUUACGGGUGGCGAGUGGCGGACGGGUGAGGAAUACAUCGGAAUCUACUUUUUCGUGGGGGAUAACGUAGGGAAACUUACGCUAAUACCGCAUACGACCUACGGGUGAAAGCAGGGGAUCUUCGGACCUUGCGCGAUUGAAUGAGCCGAUGUCGGAUUAGCUAGUUGGCGGGGUAAAGGCCCACCAAGGCGACGAUCCGUAGCUGGUCUGAGAGGAUGAUCAGCCAAACUGGAACUGAGACACGGUCCAGACUCCUACGGGAGGCAGAAGUGGGGAAUAUUGGACAAUGGGCGCAAGCCUGAUCCAGCCAUACCGCGUGGGUGAAGAAGGCCUUCGGGUUGUAAAGCCCUUUUGUUGGGAAAGAAAAGCAGCAGGUUAAUACCCCGCUGUUCUGACGGUACCCAAAGAAUAAACACCGGCGAACUUCGU
rnacentral:rRNA from 1 species